UACGUAGGGUGCAAGCGUUGUCCGGAAUUAUUGGGCGUAAAGAGCUCGUAGGCGGUCUGUCGCGUCUGCUGUGAAAACUCAGGGCUUAACCCUGAGCUUGCAGUGGGUACGGGCAGACUAGAGUGCGGUAGGGGAGACUGGAAUUCCGUGGUGUAGCGGUGAAAUGACGGCAGGAUAUCAGGAGGAACACCGGUGGCGAAGGCGGGUCUCUGGGCCGUAACUGACGCUGGAG
rnacentral:rRNA from 1 species